rnacentral:rRNA from 1 species
GACGAACGCUGGCGGCGUGCUUAACACAUGCGAGUCGAACGGAAAGGCCCUGCUUUUGUGGGGUGCUCGAGUGGCGAACGGGUGAGAAACACGUGAGUAACCUGCCCUUGACUUUGGGAUAACUUCAGGAAACUGGGGCUAAUACCGGAUAGGAGCUCCUGCUGCAUGGUGGGGGUUGGAAAGUUUCGGCGGUUGGGGAUGGACUCGCGGCUUAUCAGCUUGUUGGUGGGGUAGUGGCUUACCAAGGCUUUGACGGGUAGCCGGCCUGGGAGGGUGACCGGCCACAUUGGGACUGAGAUACGGCCCAGACUCCUACGGGAGGCAGCAGUGGGGAAUAUUGCACAAUGGGCGGAAGCCUGAUGCAGCAACGCCGCGUGCGGGAUGACGGCCUUCGGGUUGUAAACCGCUUUCGCCUGUGACGAAGCGUGAGUGACGGUAAUGGGUAAAGAAGCACCGGCUAACUACGUG